rnacentral:rRNA from 1 species
UAAUACGUAGGUGGCAAGCGUUGUCCGGAAUUACUGGGUGUAAAGGGCGUGUAGGCGGGAAUGUAAGUCAGAUGUGAAAUCCCAGGGCUUAACCCUGGAGCUGCAUCUGAAACUAUGUUUCUUGAGUGCCGGAGAGGAAAGCGGAAUUCCUAGUGUAGCGGUGAAAUGCGUAGAUAUUAGGAGGAACACCAGUGGCGAAGGCGGCUUUCUGGACGGUAACUGACGCUGAGGCGCGAAAGCGUGGGGAGCAAACAGGAUUAGAUACCCUGGUAGUCCACGCUGUAAACGAUGGAUACUAGGUGUAGGAGGUAUCGACCCCUUCUGUGCCGGAGUUAACACAAUAAGUAUCCCACCUGGGGAGUACGGCCGCAAGGUUGAAACUCAAAUGAAUUGACGG